rnacentral:rRNA from 1 species
AGACGAAGGUGGCUAGCGUUGUUCGGUAUUACUGGGCUUAAAGCGUAUGCAGGCGGAGCAGUAAGCGUCGUGUGAAAUCCCUCGGCUUAACCGAGGAAUUGCUCGGCGAACUGCUGUUCUUGAGGCAAGUAGGGGUGCAUAGAACUCUUGGUGGAGCGGUGGAAUGCGUAGAUAUCAAGAGGAAUGCCAAUGGAGAAAUCAGUGCACUAGGCUUGUCCUGACGCUCAAAUACGAAAGCGUGGGGAGCGAACGGGAUUAGAUACCCCGGUAGUCCACGCCGUAAACGAUGUCUACUAGGUUGUGGUGGUUCUGACACCGGCACGGCCGAAGCAAAAGUGUUAAGUAGACCGCCUGGGGAGUACGGUCGCAAGGCUAAA